rnacentral:tRNA from 1 species
UGCCGUGUGGCUUAGUGGAUAGAGCAUGGGCCUGGGAGUUGGAAGGAUCUGGGUUCUAAUCUCAGCUCUGCAA